UGUUUGCCCGGAAACCGGGAAAGGGAAUAACAUUUGAAAUGUAUAUAAGAAAUACUCAAGUUAAUAAAAAAAAAGAAAUAAAAAGAAUGAUAAACUCUUGUGCCACCCUACUCCACCCACUUAGGACAGGACUCAUUUCUUUGACCCCAAUAUUUAUGCUGUAUUUACUGCCUCAUUCUUAGUAACUUUGUAUCAGUUUUGUUGCAGCGCUCUUGUUCAAGUGACCACUUUUUUAUUUUAUUUUAUUGUUUUACAAUUUCAUGCAUGUUGUUCUACCUAGAGUUUAUUAUUAAGUUGAGACAGCCUAGAGUAACAUGGAAAAGACACCCUCAGUGGAAGAAUUGCUCUGUCAGAUUGGCCUGAGGUCAUGUAAGUGAGAGGUUGUCUUGACUAAAGGUUGAGCUGGAAGGGUCCAUGUCACUGUGGGAAGCACCAUUCCCUAGGCAGAUAGGCCUGGGCUGUGUAAGAAAGCUGCUGAGCAGGAGGCAGUGGGUGAGCCAGGAAGCAGUGCUCCUCCUCCUUGGUUCCUGCAUGAGCCAGUGAGCGAGCCAGGAAACAGUGCUCUCCUUGUUCCUGGUUCUGAGUUUCUUCUUGAGUCCCUGCCCCUCUCUUAAUGAUGGAUGGUAACUUAUAAGAUAAAAAUAAAUCCAUUCAUCCUUAAGUUGCUUUGUGUCAGAGUGUUUCAUCACAGCAACAGAAAAGAAACUAGAACAGAAUUGGUACCCAAAGAGCAGAGUUGUUCCUGGCGUGGAUUUGACCAUACUGUUUAGGGGGAGGACUGUGGAAGGGUUUAGAACUUGGAGCUAGAAAAGCGUGGAGUUCUCAGAGCUUAAUGGGCUAUCCUGUGAGAUCGUAGAACAUAGGAAUGUAGAGAGGAAUGCUGUCAAUGGAAGUCUGGAUUAUCAAGUCUCUGAGGGAAGCAAAGACGAUCUGUUCAUAUACCUUUGAUUAAGAAUCCGCAACUGUUGUUCAACUGAGGUUUAAGAACCAGCUGUAAUUAACAAGCACCAGUGAGGUGAAACCUGUGCUUUACUGGGACUGUGGAUAUUGGGCAGCUGAAGUUGAAGAAUCUGCUGUAAUUAGCAAGAGACCGGUGCCAAUGAGGUGAAAUCUUCCCUGAAGUAUUUCCUUGGAUCAGCACACACAGGCUGUGGUCAGGGGUGGGGACUGGGGGAAGUCUGCAUCUCACACUGGUAGUCGAACAUAGCUAUGUGUAAGACUCACCAUGUGAUACUGGUUUUGAAAGCAUAAAAUAAAUACAUAAAUAAAUAAAUAAAUAAAUAAAUAAAUAAAUAAUAAAUACAAGACUGAGGGCUCAUAGAGAAUGGAUGAGGCUUGAGAGGCCAUUGGUUAAGGUGCAGCCUCAGUUGCAGUAGAGACCCCAGGCUCUUGGAGAUGCCAGGACCCUGUGACAUUGUAUAGCAUCUGGAAUGGAGUAGAGCCCCGCUGGGCAUACCGGACUGUGCCAUGUGGAUGACAGAGCUGAAGAAAUGGGGAGGCCUGAGCCUUUUAAGUCCCAAAGAUCACAGAUGAGUGGCAGAGUUUGAUGGGCAAGGUUUGACUGACAUUGCUAAAUUUGGGGUUUGGCUUUAAUUUGAGAGUUCCUUCGCUCUGGUUCUUCCCUUUUUAAAUAAGAAAAAUGUAACUUAUCUUUGUCUUUACAAAAGACCAAAGUUGUUAAGAGACAUUGGAUUUUUAAAUCAGACCUUGGACUUUUAAAGUAUUGAAAAAUUUAAAGACUGGGGGACUUUUAAAAGUUUAACUGUUUUAGAUUGUGAUGUUAACAUGAAAUUUCAGGAACCAGAAAUGAAAGAAUAGAGCGUAAAGCAGUUCUCAACCUGUAUUUUCAUGACCCCCUUGGGGGUCAAGGGACCCAUUUGUAGGGGUCACAUAUCAGAUAUCCUGAUGUCAGAUAUUUACAUACAAUUUAUAACAUUAGCAAAACUCCAUUAUGGAGUAGCAAUGAAAAUAAUCUUAUGCUUAGGGGUCACCCCGGCAUGAGGAACCAGAUUAGACUGGCGCAUCAGUAGGGUUGAGAGCCACUGGCUUAAAGUGACUCUUUGUAUGUAAAGAGGAAGGAUGUUGGAAUGUCCUGGUCACCUUUUAUCAUCAAGUGGAUACAAACUAAUGUCACCCAAAGAGAGAACUACAGUUGAAGAAAUUGUCACUAUUAUAUUGGCCCAUGACUAGGUCUAUGAAAGAUUGUCUUGACUAAGGCUUGAUGUGAGAGGACCCAGCCCUCUGUGGGUGGCACCAUCAAUAGGCAAGCAGGUUUGGACUGUGUAAGAAAACCAGCUGCGCAUAAGGCAGUGAUCAAGCCAGGAAUCGGCAUCUCCACCAUGGCUGAGGUUCCUGUUUAAGUUCUUGCCUUGGCUUCACUCCACGACGGCCUAUGACCUGGGAGCUUAAGCCAAAGAAACCCUUUCUCCUCCAAGUUGGUUUGGGUGAGUAUUUUAUCACAGCAACAGAAGAGUAACUAGAAGACACGUAUAUAGUGUAUCUUUAUAAAAAUAAUAUCUUAAUUAGUUUUUGAGAAUUUCAUAGGAUGCAUUUUGAUCCUAGGCGGCCCUUCCCCAGCCCCUCCCAGAGCCUUCCUCACUUCCUUCCUCACCCAUGCUCCUUCUGUUUAUAAAUAUGUUGAGUCUAAUCCGUGCUGCCUAAAUACUCUUGGAUGUGGGGUGUGGGGUGUGUGUCGUGGGCUGUGACAUAUCUACUGGGGUCAUACUGUUAAAGAAAAUGGACUCUCCGCCUCCCAGUACUAUCAAACACCAAUCUCUCUUCAACCAGGGGCGGGGCUUAAUGCUUGUCCCUUUACUCUAUGCAGGGACUUUUUUUUUGUCUUCCGGUUUUGUCUUCUGUGUGCUGUCCCAGCCUCUGAGUUUAUUAUGUGCGACUUCCUUAGUCAUUUGCCACCUUGGACUGUUACAGUCUUUUACCCACUUUAUACAAUGAUCUCUGUGCCUUAGAGGGGAAAUCGACAUGGUCAUCCCAUUUAGGGCUGGUCACUUUAUAGUUUCUCUCCCUCCCUCUCUCCUUCCUCCUCCCCCUCUCCCUCUCACUCUCCCUCUUCCUCCCCCACCCCAUGGUGUGUGUGUGUGUGUGUGUGUGUGUGUGUGUGUGUGUGUGUGUGUUCGUCUAUUUCUCUGGUUUCAUUGAGACAGAGUUUCACUGUGUAGACCUGGAUGACCUAGAACUCCUUCUGUAGACCAGGCUGACCUCAAUCUCAAAGAGAUCCAUGCCUCUGCCUCCUGAGUGCUGGGACUAAAGGCAUGUGCCGCGCCCAACCUCGACCAGCAAGGAAGACACGACCACAGGAGAUCUUCUUUGAGCAGUUUUACUCAGGAACCUUGACACAAUCUUCUGACCUCUAUCUCUUCUGACUCUCUCUCCCCGGGGAACGCCCUGCACCACACUUAAAUAGCUAGCACUGGCCAGUCCUAGGAAGCCACGUGGGUCAUGUAGAUAGGCUGUCACUAUUCGGAAGCUGGCAGGCCAGGCAGACAUAGCCAAAUAAGGACUUGUUUACUGCAAGGAGCGCUCACCGUUGGGAGGGUGGAAGUCGGAAACCAGCGCCAUCUUUGAGGCGCUGCACGUCGCAGCUCUCUACAGGCAUGCACUACGGUGGCCAGCUUUUAUUCUAUUUAUUUUAUUUUAUUUUUAUAAUCUCUUAAUCUCUGUGCUGUGAGUCUUUAUGUUAGCCGCCAUACCCUUCAGGAAGAAACUUCUUUGAUAAGGACUGGGAGAUUCUAUGGGCAUAGUGAUAAGUUACUAGGGUCGUUUUAACACUGUGUUUGUCUGUCAUAGGAAUAGUGAGUGAUACGUUCUCUCCUAUGAUCUAUCUAACCACAAGUUCUUGGUCUCAGUAAUGAGGCCAGGUAUGGGUUUCACCCUGCGGAAGCAUUGCCGGGACAGUUGCUAAUGUAGUUCAGUUGGUUUGCUGGAGAGCAAAACUGACGAUUAAUUUUCUUGUAGUGUAUAUAGCACCUCCCAGAACUGUGAAAGCUAGCUAGUAGAAACAAAGCUUCCAUGUUACUACCAGCUUGUUUUAUGAGCAUGUGGUGAUCUCAGCGAUAGGGUCUUGCCAUCAGGUUCUAGAGGGUAACCGGAAGCAAUGGCGAUAGCCCGUAAUGGUUAGCGGUGUAUGGCACCACAUCGUCCACCAACUCCAAAACAGGCAAUUUAGUCCUGGUACUAGGCUUUUAUUGGCUAGCAUGUGGUUAUAUACCAUAUCCAUCCCUAGUUCCCCUCCCCCACGCCCUUGAUGACAGCGGAUGAUCUUUUUGAUGUGCUCCUGAUACUUGCAAAUAUAGUUUACAAGUAUUUUGUUGAUAAUUUUUGCAUAUAAGCUCAUCCUGAAAAUGAUCUAUAGUUUUUCUUUUCCUUCCCUUCUUUUUCGUGUGUGUGUGUGUGUGUGUGUGUGUGUGUGUGUGUGUGUUUAAUAUGAUGGUAAUACUAACUUCAUAAAAGAGUUUAGUCACAUUCUUUUCUAUUUUUUAAUAGUUUCAGAAACACUGGUUUCUGAAGGGCUGGGAAGUUCACCAUUGAAUCCCUCUGGGCCUGAACUUCUUUAGUGGAAAGAUUCUUAAUAACGACCUCAAUUUUAGUACUUGUUAUACAUCUAUUAAAAUUGUUUAUCUUAUCCUGUUUUAAUUUUUAUUGGUUAUACAAAUCUACGAAUUCACAUUUUUUUUCCACAGUGGACUAUACGUUUUCCAGGUAAGCCAUAAUGAUUUUAUGGGUUUCAUCGGCAUCUGUUGUGCUAACUCUAUUUUUAUCUCUAAUUGUAUUGUAAUCAUCUCUAAUUAAUCUCUAAUUUAAGGACUUUUAAUUUUAGGUGUUUUAAAGGUCUUUCUAUUAGUUAGUUUGGCUGACUCUGAUUCUUCAUAAUUUUGUUUCCAUUCCACUCAUUUCUACUCUAAUCUUGGAUUUGACUUAUUUUCUAGAUCUCUAAAGUUUAUUAUUAAAUCAUAAAUUUAAAAUCACUCUGCUUCCCUAACAUAGACAGUUAGAGUUAUAGAAUCCCCUCCCCUCAUAGGACUUUGGAGAGAAUUCCAAGGGCUGCUGAGAAGAGUGGACUUUGCAGUGGUUGAAUGGAAUGUUUUGUAGAUGUUGGCUAAGUCCAUUUGUUCUAUGGUAUCAUUUAGUUUGCAUAUUGAUUCAUUUUUGUCUGUUGUUGUUUGGGAUUUUCUUUCUUUGUUUUUGUUUUGUUUUGUUUUGUUUUGUUUUUGGAAAGAUCUGUUAUUUGCAGAGAGUGGGGUAUUGAAGCUACCCACUGCUAUGGUGCACGAGUUAAUCUGUGGCUCUGAAUCUAACACUGCUUGCUCUAUGAAACUGGGUACAACUAGUCUAGGCUUUAUAUGUUCAGAAUCACGAUGUCCUUUUAAUGGGUUAUUUCCUCAGUCAGUACGAAGUAAUUCUUAUCAUUGUUUCUCACUAGUUUUGAUUUGAUGCCUAUUUUGUUAGAUAUUAGAACAACAGCAUUUGCUUUGUUCGCUUACAACCAAAGGUAGUAUGUGCCUUUUGUGGUAAGGUGUGUUUCCUGGAGACUGAAAAUCAAUGGGUCCUGAUUUUUGAUCCAAUAUACCAGUUUGUGCCUUUCGAUUUAGAAAUUGAGAUCAUUAGUAUUCAGAGAGAGUUUAAUACUCUAUUCACUUAGCAGAGCAGUACUCAUAGGUUCUCCCCUAGGGCCUAUGGCCUAUCUAACCACAGUGCCUGGGCUCUAAUAAAUGAUUAUGAGAGUAUGAGGUUUAAUUUGUGGAAUGGGCCUAAAUCCAGUAAGAGAUUAAUUGGUUUUUACUAUGAUGUCCAUGGCACUACUGCACAGGUUGGCAUGUCUUGCCAGGCCGGUCAUUGUCAGAGCUUCCAAGGUCCACAGUUAGUUAUGGUGAUUCCCUUUCUCUCUGGUAGCAUACAUUGCACCUUUCAGCCCUAUGAAAAUACUGAGGAGGGAGGAAGCCUCCAGGUCAGCACCAUUUUGAUUUCUUAUGUUCUAUGAUUCCAGUGAAUGAUGUCUUCAGCACCAGGGUCUCUGCAUUAAGUUCUAGAGGGUAGUCAAAAGCAUUAGCAAUGUCCUGUAACGUUUGGAGGUCUAUGGGACUCUAGUAGACAGUAACUCAAAGGUGGUAACCCAUCCUAGUGCUGGGCUUUUCAUUAUCCUGUGGUAUUUAGUAGGGAUAUAAUACUGCUGUUGUGGGGUAACACUAUUCAAACUCUUUAUAUGUGUGUAUGUGUACAUUUUAGAAAGUGUCUACAGUAGUAGGUCUUCCCGUGGACUUUUUCAAAGCAUUUCUCAUGUUAGUUAUCCCUCUUCUAUCUACCUUGCCCUCCUGUCCCCUUCCCAUUAAACCCUUCUUUUAUCAUUAUUCUCUUUAACUCUUUAUACCACUGUGUUCUAUCUCUCCUUUCUUAAAAUCACCCCACCCCCUACAGGGCCCGUUCCUAAUUUCUUGACCUCUAGGGCUAUUCCGAAUGUAACACACAUAUCUGAAAAUUCAAGGUUAAUAUCUGCAAAUGGGAGAAAAAAAAAUGAGAUAUUAGGCCCCAGAGGGGAACUUAUUAGUAUUACUCUGCUAAACAGAUUAAACUGACUCCUGGUGACUUAUUUACUACCUGUAGAUUAGUGCAUUGGGGCAUUGGUCAACUCUCAUAAAAAAAGCUUCUUUUUUGCAAUAAAGGUGAUUAAUACAGAGGCCAAUAACUAAUCAUGUUGCAGAGAAUAAAGAAUAAAAUACUGUAAAAUGUUCAGCCCUAAAUGGGGCAUCCAUUUCAUGCCCUCCUCCUAGAGGCUCAGGGCUCAUGGUGAAAAAGGGUGUGGAAAGGUUGUAAAGGCUAUGGCCAUGAGUGACUCUAAAGAAUCAGUGCUUUCUUUACUUAGCUGGGCAGUCAUACAUGUGAAUUAUACCAGUUGAGUCAGCAUGCUCAAGACCAUUCUAGAAUCAGGCCAAUUAAAAUUCCAUCAUGAGGAGUGGAGAUAAGUAUGAAGUCCCCCUGCCCCCAACACCUAAAGACCUAUUAUCAGUUAGUAACUGCUGCAAGAGAGUCAAUUGUGUUUAAACUUGUAGCCCCUGAUGCGUUGGCCUCCUUCCAGGGAAAGUCACACGUCCAAGACUGUAUGGGUAGCACCAACUGUACGUGAUGGGUUUAAAAAGAAAUUCCACAAAGCUGGCUGUAAGGAAUGGGGAAUGGAACUGUAUAAAAUUCUUGAAGAGAGAAUAAAAAGCAAAAAAUAAAAAAUAAAACUAGAAACAUAUUGAGUGGUUCCUGAAACAUUCAGGAAUCAGAACAAUCUGUGUUAUCAGGUAUCGACCCAGGAUUAUGGAAGGUAUUUUCCAUGUAUGGAGGAAACUAUAGAAAAUUCUAAUUAAUAUGUAUGCACUCCCAUCCCCACAGGCAUACACACAGACUGUUGUUAGAACUGAUAAAGGAGCUCAUGUUCUAGGACACAAGAUGGGUAUAAGCUUGGCAUGUUUGCAAUCCCAGUACUUAGGAGGCAGAGGUAAAAGGUUUGCAGGUUCAAGGUUAGCAUGAACAUAGUGAGACCCUGACUGGAAUGUAACAAUAUCUAAAUAAAGUGAUAAAUGACUAUAAGGUAUUAACAUAAGAUAUAAGAUUAACAAAUGAAAGAAAUUUGAAAAAAAUGAAUGAAGUAUUUGGAGUAAAAAUUAGUUAUUACUUGAUGAUAUAAGGAAGAAUAAAGUAAUUUCACAUUCACAUGAAAGCGAGGAGUUAAAUUGACAAUCUAGGUUGUACAAGGUAAACUGUAAGCCAAAAGUCAACAUAUUUGUUUGGCAAGUUUUCUAAGAUCACUGAGGGGACAGUGUGCUUUUUAACUCUGUGAAGAGUAAUGAGAAAAAGUGUAAGUCGGGUCAACUAGGCUUGUGAUGAUCAGGGCAGAGAAGGGCAAAGAGUGGGUUUAGAAAUCCAGAAAGAGAGCACACAGGAUAGACAGGUGAAGUAGGCAACCACAGUCAAAGAGUGAGAGUGUGAAUUGGAGAUGAUGUUGGUAUCUUGACAGGGUGCGAUACUGAUGCUAGGGGAAUGACACGUACAGACAAGGUCAGGAAUGGGAGUGCCAAGCUGGAAGAAAGGCAGGAUGUUCCAAGCUUGGAGAGUUGGGUGUAAAGGAAUGGAGUUGCAAAAUGAAGAUGGAAAAAUGUGUUUUGUGGGCAGGUCACUUCAUGAAAUGACCGUACAGCCUGGAGUCUAAGUUCAGUGGCUGUGACAGAGGGCCAAAUCACACUUAUUGAAGUUAAUUACUUUUUGUUUAGAUUAUAGACUGAGCUAGCUAGUGCCUCUGCUCUAAGAUGUUAAUGGUAGCUUUGCUUUGUUUUACGUGGAUUCUUUACCCUUACCAACAAAGUUAGAACGAUUCACUACUAGGUUCACAUUUUAGUCGACAUAAGGACACUCCUGCAUUUUAUGAAACAAGCCUAGACGUUGUAUGUGAUGUUAAGGAUACCAUCCUUCUAGCCAAAAAUUCAUCAUUAGACCACACUUUGAGGGAGCCUGUAGUCUAGACAGGAGGGCACCCUCAAGAAACCCAGGAAAAGGGUCUCCAUAAAUAAAUUAUCAUCUUAAUACAAAGCCCUGAGAUUGUGAGGGUAUAGGGCCUUCUGGGAGAAUGGUAGAUGAGAACGCUGUGGUUGGAGGGGAGAAAGAGUCGGGGAGCUGAGUCAGGUGAUUAGGAAUGAGAGGUUAUCAGGGCCCAUGGGCUACAAGUUUCGGACAUUGAAGCCACAGGCACUUUCAAAGGAAUGUUGUCUCCUGAUCUUGAACCCUGAGUACAUUUCUUUUUCUCAUCUUUGAGUAUUCAAUAAGUAGGGUAAAACAGAGCUAUUCUUCAGGGGUCAUUUUCUGAUCCCUGAAUGGACUUAGAAAAAAGGAGCUUUGCCAGCACAGAGUUACAAAACUUAGUAUACAGUGGGGGAAUUUAUACCUUUCUUGCAAUGCAGGCCACUUCUGGUGGGCUGGGAUGCACAGUGCGUUGAUGGUGAAGGUGAUUUAUGGCAGCCGCUCUGAAUCCAUCUAUGUUCUAUGACCUCCCUGUGCAGUGUCUUCUGCCUUGAUAAAAAUCACAAUAUUCCGUGUCGGGUCUUCGUGAGUUUUUUUUUUUUUUGAAUCAAGUAUGAAACCAUUUACAGUGUAUUCAACUCUAGCUUUCUUUGUUCAUUGUUUAUCCCCCCAAGACUGAAUUAAUACAUAUCAAAAUUCAAAGAUUUCAAGAUGUUGCUCUAUACGUAGAACAUUUUUUUUCUGUCCACAUUUCGACCUGGCCUCAGAUGAACCUUCUCUUCCCUUUUGUACGUCAAAGAAUUUGGGUCCCCAAGGUUAAUCACAUGGAUCUUCAGUUAAUCAUGUAUACCCUCCAAACCAUGUGGAAUUAUCUAAUUGGACAUAUAAGGAGAUAAUUUUACAUGGCAGAAAGAAUGGUAAUGAAGCAGUUAUGUAGAAAAAUAGGACAUUUUUUGAAGGGAGAGUUGCUUAGGAAAAAGCCUGAAUCUGUGUGGCUCUGGUAAUACAUGUAUUUAUAUGUAUGUACUCACUAUCCGUUAAUUAUUCCAUUAAAACAUUGUGAAAAAACGCCAAUUUCUAUGGUACUAGGACUGAAAGAUUAUACGGUAGCUCAUGUGUCAAAACUGGAAUAUUUGAGUCAGGGCUAUACACAGAGAAAGGGAGGGUCAUUAUGCAAAGCUUUGUAAACAUACUCUCAUUUUAUUAUUUGGACUGAGAAAGGAAAAGGCUAGUGUGGUGAUUUGAAGGAGAAAUAGACCCUAAAGGCUCAUGUGUCUCAACAGUUGGUCCCUGGCUGGUUCCGGGAGGUUACAGGAAGGUUAGGAGGUAGAUCCUUGUUAGAGGAAGCACCCAGGGGAUGGUCUUGAGAAUUUUUAGCUUUGCCCACUUCCAGUUCACUCUCAUUGUGUUUGCAAAUGUGAUCUUGCCUCUCCCUGCUCCAGCUGCCUGCUGCCAUCCCUCCACAGCCAGUGGGGACUCCUUCUCUGGAACCAUAAGCCAAAAUAAAGUCUUCCCUGUCAGUUUUUACCAUUAUAUUUUAUCAUGGCAACAAAAGUAAGUAAUAUAGGCACAAAAAAAGGUUAGAAGAAGAAGAGAAAAACAGAUGGAGAAAUAACUGUAACUCUGUGUUUUGGGCGUUAGAAUGAAAUCAAGAGCUUUGGAAAUGAACCGGCUGAUUGAUUGAUUGAUUGAUUGAUUGAUUGAUUGAUUUGUGUGUGUGUGUGUGUGUGUGUGUGUGUGUGUGUGUGUGUGUGUGUGUGUGUUUGGGGAUGAUGUCUUCCCAGUGGAGCUCACAUUUCAACUUGGUCCUGAUAGGUAAUCAGGAGUUGCACAUAAAGGCAGCAGGGUAAAAAACAUUGCGAUCCAGCGUGCAGAGAGGUGAGAAAUGUGUCAAGUGCCCAGUGAUUCUGUUCGGCAGACUUUUGAGGCACAUGAAGUAGUGCUGAGAAGGAAGGUUGGAAAGACUAGUGAGGGUUCUGCAUGCUUGACUUUGAUUCUGUAGAAACUACUGGGGAGUUUCUUGAAAGUUUAAGACAUACAUAAUAACAUAAUAAUCAUAAUUGUGCUUUAGAAAGAUGACUGGGGAAAAAAAGAAAAUGGAGGAGCUAAAUUCGGAUGUGUUUGUGUAGAGUAUAUUGUUCGCACACCUACCUCAUUCUAGCAGCUGAGUACAAAGCAUCAUGGGAACCUGUUGACUUCCUUUCUUGUGCAGCUUUAAGUGGUAAAUGGAAAACUGAUUGGAUAUAAAAAUGCACAUAAUCAUCAAAUAGUAAAGAGUCUUUUGGAGAACAGGGAGGUCUUUGCAGUUGAGUGACCACACCAGCAUACACUGAGUGCCAAUGGAACACUUGAGUAAGAAACCUUCAGCUAUAGCAGAGCAAGCCAAGAGCUUAGCUGUGGGAAGAGGACUUAGGCAGGAGGAUUGCAUGUGUGGACAGGUGUAUUAGAAGGGCUCUGCAAAGCAAAGACAACAAAAGAGAGACUUCCAUUUCUGUUUCUAAAAUGGGAAUGGGGCUAAAGAAACGCUGACCACCUUUUGAAGAGCACUGGGAACACGGAGUCGGUUGUUUAAUAUAUUCAUGCUUGACAGGCUAGAACAGGAUCUUCUUUUAUAAAUAAUCUCCAGACCAUGAUUUUAGAGAGAGGUAACUAAGCUAUGUUCUGCUGUCAUUCAAGAUCAGGAACUUUGCAUUUACGCGGUGAAGCCUGAUUAUGCUCUCAGACCAACAAUGGGUUCCUUUUGCUUUGCUUUAUUUUGCUCACUUGGUUUUGGUCUCUCGUGUAGUUUAAGCCAUUCAUUUCCCUUUUAGAUGCUCAGAAUUUGCACUCAAUGGUUACAUUUAAGGGAAAUUUUUCUCAAAAUGUAAAAAGCGCAUUGGCUGGGAUGGUGUGUAUAGAAACCCUUCAAGCAAGUGAGAGACGAGCAGAACUGGGAACACAUCGGCUCAUCAGGAUCUCGCUGAGUGCAUCAUGCGCAGGGGAUAAACCCAAGUCAGAAUUUGCAAUGAGAUCAUUAGUGUGGCCAUCCUGGUCCCGUACUCAGACUGCAAGCAUGUUUAAUGCACCAAGCCCACCUCAAGAUGCCCCUCGGCCCCAAGAGAACAAAGAACCAGGCCAAAACAGGAGGAUGGAAAGAUGCCAAGUGGUCAUAAUGCUGUCAGUGUCACACUCUGUACUGAUCAGAAGAAGAAAAGUAAUAGAGAAAGUUCUGUCCUGCUGGUUCGGCUGCCUGCCACCUAACCCUGUGGAAGACGAACAAGGAGAAAAUAGCCAUAUCAUUAUGGAUUAUAUCAAUAAUACAUUAUAGAGAUACCUUCUGUAUAUGGAAUAGUGCCCUGAUUUAUGUGAAUUAUCAAUAUUUAUGAUUACACACUUGACCAUUGGAUAUCAAAAAGAAAAUUUUAAAGUAAAUAUAAUUUUAAAUUAUUUGCUUAAAAAUUACUUCAUUAAAACAAUUAAAUUAGCAAUAUGAAUAAAAAUGUAUUGGAGAAAAUAAUGUUUAAAGGGUCCCAGUUAGGAGAGAAGUAAUGUUUUUUUUCUAUUCCUCAAUAGAUAAAAAUGACCUUGGAAUAAACAAUCUAUUUUUAUCAUGUAUAAAGAACAGCUCUGAAAAUCAAGCAUUCUAUCUAAAUUCUAAAUAUUCUCAGAGAAUGUCAUGGUUUAGAGCAGUAUAUUUUCAUCCCAAAUCUACAUAACUUUUUAAUUACUAAAAAUACUUUCUAGACUCUUGUACCAUAGCACUCCUUGACUCUAGUCAAGGAAUUAAACAAUUCCUCUGGCAAUUAUUAAACAUUUAAAGGUUAAUACCUUCUGUGUACAACGUGCUGCUGACCACCGUAUUGCAGGAACACAAAGUGGGUGAAGUUGCCCAGUGAGCAGAAAGAACGGCAAAUGGAAGCACACAGAGUGAGACUGUGCCAGGUGACACGAGGGUUGGAGGGAGAGAUGCCUAUGGGUUAGAGACGUCUAGGUCAGGGUUAAGGAAAAGCAACUGUUGGCCUCAGUGUUGGUGGGUAGAGAAAAUGUCAAUGGACAGAAAUGGGGACGGAGUGGGAUGAGAACACGGAUUCUGGUGACAGGAAAGGUUCUCGUCAUGGCUCAUGGGAGUCAUAGAAGACAAUUAGGACUACCAAGUGCUGGUAAGGGUUCUCUGGACUCAGGUGUCUGCCUGAGGAGUCUAAAGCAAAUACAGUCUACAGUGGAACUGCGUCCAAGCCAGCAUGACAUGAUGUGACAUGACAUGGCUCUGUGUAUGCUCUGAUGCUCAGGAUUUUAUAUUCAGCUGCACUCGCCUGCCUGCAAAGUGAGGGUGACUCCCUAUCCCCCAGGGGAGAGAGGGCUUUGUACCACAGGGUGACAUUAGGUAGGAGCACAAUAGUGGCAAGGGCAGGGGAGGGUCAUCAUGUGGGCCCAUCACAUACAAGGGACUGUCCACUUCUGACUAUGGCCUCUGUGCCCCAGUUAUUUAGGUAACAUUUGAGCUGUUGAAUAAUUUUUAGAUGUAAAAGGAAUUAUCAUCUACAAAUCCUUUAAGUGCCUGCCUGAUGAACAGUGGCAUCCUCUUGUGGUGAAUUGUCUAGGAGCAAUCACAUCUAGAAGUCAAAUAAAAGCUAGAAUUCAUAUAGGGAGGACAGGGCUGUGAGGGUAUGACACACUCUGACUGAACAUAGGCUGUGGAAGCUUGUCCUUUGCAAAAGCAUUCCAUGAUAUUGUAUGUCCAGCUAAUUUUUGUUCUGUUUUGUUUUGCUUUGUAUUUUUGGUUUAUUGGAUAGUUCAUGUAUUUACAUUUCAAAUGUUAUCCCCUUUCCUGAUUCCCCCCUCUCCCAUUCUUCCUCCUCUGUUUCUCUGAGGAUGCUCCCCCUCCCACCCACCCACUCCCAACUCCUGGCAUUCCCCUACACUGGGGGAAAGAGCCUUGACAGGACCAAGGGCUUCUCCUCUUAUUGAUGCCAGACAAUGCCAUCCUCUGCUACAUAUGCUGCUGGAGGCAUGGGUUCCCCUAUGUCUACUAUUUGGUUGGUGGUUUAGUCCCUAGGAGAUCUGGAGGAAACACAGGACUUUGUAGCUACCUCUGUUAAGUGCUGACAUCAUUUAGAGUAAAAAGGUGUAUUGAACUUUUAUUUCAGAAGUAUCUGGAACUUUCCCAUUCUCCACAGUUAUCCAGAGAUGUUCCUGUUCUUCGUAAAUUAGAACUUUAAAAAAAUUAGCUGGUUUAGGUAUAAGUGUAAUUGUGGCUUCAAAGAAUGAAUUGGGUAGUGUUUCCUCUGUUUCUAUUUUGUGGAAUAGUUUGAAGAGUAUUGGUAUUAGGUCUUCUUUGAAGGUCUGAUAGAACUCUGCACUAAACCCAUCUAGUCCUGUACUAUUAGUGGUUGGGAGACUUUUAAUGAGUGCUUCUAUUUCUUUAGGGGUUAUGGGACUAUUUAGGUGGUUUAUGUGGUACUGAUUUAGUUUUGGUACUUAGUAUCUGUCUAGAAAUUUGUCCAUUUCAUCCAGGUUUUCCAGUUGUGUUGAGUAUAGGCUUUAGUUGGAUCUGAUAAUUUUUUGAAUUUCCUCAAUUUCUGUUGUUAUGUCUCCCUUUUCAUUCCUGAUUUUAUUAAUUUGGAUACUGUCUCUGUGCUCUCUGGUUAGUAUGGUUAAGGGUUUAUCUAUCUUGUUGAUUUUCUCAAUGAACCAUCUCCUGGUUUUGUUGAUUCUUUGGAUAGUUCUUUUUGUUUCCACUUGGUUGAUUUUAGCCCUGAGUUUGAUUAUUUCCUGCUGUCUACUCCUCUUGGGUGUAUUUGAUGCUUUUUUUUUCAAGAUCAUUCCACACAAAGGAAGAGAACUUCAGACCAAUUUUGCUCAUGAAUAGUAAUCCAAAAAUACUCAAUAAAAUUCUCACAAACUGAAUCAAAAAAUACAUUAAAACAAUCAUGCAUCAUGAUUUAGUAGGCUUCAUCCCAGGGAUGCAGGGAUGGUUCAAUAUAUGGAAAUCUAUCAACAUAAACCAAUAUAUAAACAACUCAAGGAAAAAUAACCACAUGAUCAUCUCAUUAGAUGCUAAGAAAGCAUUUGACAAAAUUCAAAACCCUUCAUGAUAAAAGUUUUGGAAAGAUUAGGAAUUUAAGGCCCAUACAUAAAUGUAGUAAAAGCCAUAUACAGCAAACCAGUAGCCAACAUCAAGCUAAAGGGAGAUAAUCUUGAAGCAAUCCCACUAAGAUCAGGGACUAGACAAGGCUGCCCACUCUCUUCCUACUUAUUCAAUAUAGUACUUGAAGGCCAAGCCAGAGCAAUUAGACAACAAAAAGAGGUCAAAGGGAUACAAAUUGGAAAGGAAGAAGUCAAAAUAUCACUAUUUGCAGAUGAUAUGAUAGUGUACUUAAGUGACCUCCAAAAUUUCACCAGAGAACUCCUACAGCUGAUAAAUAACCUCAGCAAAGUCGCUGAUAUAAAAUUAACUCAAACAAAUCAGUAGACUUUCUCUACUCAAAGGAUAAACAGUCUGAGAAAGAUAUUAGGACACCCUUCACAAUUGUCCCAAAUAAUAUAAAAUACGUCGGUGUGGCUUUAACCAAGCAAGUGAAAGAUCUGUAUUACAAGAACUUCAAGUCUCUGAAGAAAGAAAUCCAAGAUGAUCUCAAAAAAUGGAAAGAUCUCCCAUUGUCAUGGAUAGGCAGGAUUUUUCCUUUUUUUUAUAGGAUAUUUUUUUAUUUACAUUUCAAAUGUUAUUCCCUUUCCUAGUAUCCCAUCCAUAAGCCUCCUGUCCCCCUCUGCCUUCUUCUAUAAGGGCGGUCCCCUUCCCAAACACACUACUUCCUACCUCCCUGCCCUGACAUUCCUCUACAAUGGGGGAUCCAGCCUUGGCAGGACCAAAGGCUUCUCCUCCCAUUGGUGCCCAACAAGGCCAUCCUCUGCUACAUAUGCAGCUGGAGCCAUGGGUCUGUCCAUGUGUACUCUAUGAAUAGUGUGGUUUAGUCCCUGAGAGCUCUGGUUAGAAAGAACAAUUUGCAAAUUCAUCUGGAAUAACAAAAAACCCAGGAUAGCAAAAACUAUCCUUCACGAUAAAAGAACUUUUGGGGGAAUCACCAGUCCUGACCUCAAAUUAUAUUACAGAGCAAUAGUGAUAAAAACUGCAAGGUAUUGCUACAGAGACAGGUAGGAAGAUCAAUGGAAUAGAAUUUAAGACCCAGACAUGAACCCACACUCCUAUGGUCACUUGAUCUUUGACAAAGGAGCUAAAACCAUCCAAUGGAAAAAAGACAGCAUUUUCAAUAAAUGGUGCUGGUUCAACUGGAGGUCAACAUGUAGAAGAAUGCAAAUCGACCCAUUCUUAUUUCCUUGUACAAAGAUCAAGUCCAAGUAGAUGAAGGACCUCCACUUACAAUCAAAAUACUGAAUCUAAUAGAAGAGAAAUUAGAAAAGAACUUCAAACAUAUAGAAAUGGGAAAUUUUCCUGAAUGAGCAGUGGCUCAUUCUCUAAGAUCAACAAUUUACAAAUGAUACCUUAUAAAAUUGCAAAGCUUCUAUAAGGCAAAGGACAAAAUUUUGUCAAUAUAACAAAAUGGCAACCCAUAGAUUAGAAAAAUCUUUUCCAACCCUACAUCUAAUAUAGGACUAAUAUCCAAAAUAUACAAAAACUCAAAAAGUUAGACUCCAGAGAAUCAAAUAAUCCUAUUAAAAAUGGGGUACAGAACUAAACAAAGAAUUCUCAACUGAGGACUAUUGAAUGACUGAGAAGCACCUAAAGAAAUCUGGUGUGUCUGAAGAUAGCUAUAGUGUACUCAUACAUGAAUAAAUGAAUAAAUCUAAAAAUGAAAAAGAAAAAAGAAAUGUUCAACACAGUUAGUCAUCAGGAAUAUGCAAAUCAAAACAACCCUGAGAUUCCACCUCACACCAGUAAGGAUGGCUAAGAUCAAAAACUCAGGUGACAGCAGAUGCUGGUGAGAAUGUGGAGAAAGAGGAACACUCCUCCAUUGUUGUGGGGAAUGCAAGCUGGUACAACCACUCUGGAAAUCAGUCUGGCGGCUCCUUAGAACAUUAGAUAUAGUACUACCUGAGAACCCAGCUAUACCAGUCCUGGGCAUACACCUAAAAGAUGCUCCAACAUAUAACAGUGACACAUGCUCCACUAUUUUCUUCGCAGCCUUAUUUAUAAUAGCCAGAACCUGGAAAAACCCCAGAUGUCCUUUAACAGAGUUAUGGAUACAGAAAACAUACCUUUACACAGUGAAGUACUGCUCAACUAGUAAAAACAAUGACUUUGUGUAAUUCUUAGACAAAUGGAUGGAACCAGAAAAUAUCAUCCUGAGUUAAGUAACCCAAUAGCAAGAGAACACACAUGGUAUGCACUCUUUGAUAAUUGCAUAUUAAACCAAAAGCUCAGAAUACCCAAGAUACAAUCCACAGACCACAUGAAGCUGAAGAAGAAGAAAGACCCAAGUGUGGAUGCUUCAGUCCUUAGAAGGGGGAACAAAAUACUCACAGGAGGAAAUACAGGGACAAAGUUAGGAGCAGAGACUGAAGGAAAGACCAUCCAGAGACUGUCAGAUAUGGGGAUCCAUCCCACAUGCAGUCACUGAAUCAAGUCAUUAUUGGGAACUCCAAGAGGCUAUUGCUGACAGGAGCCUGAUAUAGCUGUCUCUUGAGAGGCUCUGCCAGAGCCUGAUAAAAAUACAGACAGAUGUUUGCAGCCAACCAUUGGACUGAGAAUGAGGUUCCCAGUAGAGGAGGUAGAGAAAGGACUGAGGUGGUUUGCAACCCCAUAGGAAGAACAAUAUUAACCAACCAGACACCCCAGAGCUCCCAGGGACUAAACCACCAAACAAAGAGUACACAUGGAAUGACCCAUGGCUCCAGUCUCAUAUGUAGCAGAGGAUGGCCUUGUCUGACAUCAAUGGGAGGAGUGGUCCUUGGUCCUGUGAAGGCUUGAUGCCCCAGUAUAGGGGAAUUCCAGGGCAGGAAGUGGGAGGGAGUGGGUGGGUGGUUGGAGGAGCACCAUCUUGGAGGCAGGGGUUGGGAGGAUGGGAUAGGGGGUUUCCAGAGGGGAAACCAGGAAGGGGGAUAAUAUUUGAAAUGUAGAUAAAGAAAAUAUCCAAUAAAAAAUGAAAAAAAAGCCCAAUAUAUGUACUAUGCCUCACCUUGAGUUGUUAGUCAUGAACACCCCGAGUACCCACAAACAAUACACGCUAUUGCCCCUGCUCUUGUGCCAACAGAAGUAGGUGGGAGGAGCUUAUUGCUAAAGAGCCUUGUCCAUUGGCCACCGGACAUAGAGAAGUCAAGUAGGUACUGACCAGACAUUCCCUCACUGAUGACUAGCUCCGGUAGACUGGAAGUUGCUCUGCAGUACUUGGGGGACGUCCUCUAUAGUUUUACCUCGUUAUGAAUCUCGUACACAGUGACAAUCAGUGACCAGCAUGGCAAAGUCGGCUUAAGGGCACAAUUGUCGCAUGAAUGUUAUGGGGUCACCAACUGCUUUCUGAUUAGAUUAUAAGUCCAGUCUACAAGAAGAAACUCCAAGAUCUGUGGUAGAGGAGCUCUGAGCCCCAGGGUGAACCUAUUGCAAUUAUUUUGCUAUAUAGACACAACAUUAAAUUUCCCUCUAAAGGUAUAUCUCUCUACACAAAGUUUAAGGGAAGUUCUGUGACCACAUCAAAGAAGUUUCUUCGUCCUGUGGAGAGUAGUGAUUGCAGAAACUUAGAGCUGUUCAAAGUGCACGAGAAUAAAUGGAACUGACUUUCAGUCAGUGAACAUCAGCAAAGAGUUUGCUGGCUACUGGCCUCGAGGUCUCUGCAUGCUGUGCUUCUGUGGACACGAAACCUGGCUUCACGAGAAGGAUGCCGUGGAUCUGCAAAUCUGGCAAGUUAGGUAAAUGGUCUCAUUGUGCAGCCUUGGCUGUUUGGAACCUGCUAUGUAGACUAGGCUGGGCUCAAACUCACAGAAAGUCUGUCUCUGGCUUCAAAGUUCUGGAAUUAAGGAUGUGCGACAUCACUUCCAGGAGAAGAGAGAGGAAGAAGAGAUAAUACUACAACAACAACAACAACAACAACAACAACAACAACAACAACGACAAAAUAGGUUUUACUUGACUGCCAGGCAUACUCCUAAACUGUUUAUAUUCCUCAGUAUCUUGAAGUUGAAGCCCAACCUUUUUCUCUCUUUGGCAUUUGGGGUACAUGCGUGCAUGCACGUGUGUGCUCAAGUACAUGCAUGUGUGUCUGCGUCAUUGAGGAUCUCUGACAUGAAAGAUUCCCUAGUCAAUCUGUUCUGAUUCUUUCCUUAGCCUCUGCAGAAGAGAGAAAACUUAAGCCUCAUUACUCCAAGCUUUCCAGUCUUAGACAAUUCCUACCUGACUUACUAGACGCUGGCUUCUGUGUGGGCCACAAAACACCGAGAUGGUGAUGGCUAUUCCACUCUAUGACUAAUCUUUGCUUGAGCCAUAAUUUUCUGGCCUGUGUCACAGUGAAGCCCCUACCUUAUAGAUACUGCAGAAGGUGCUUUCUGACAGUCCCAUAAAAGACCCUCACAUUAGAGACACAGAAGACCCUAAACCUAUCAAGAUCCCUUUCGGGUAGCAUAUCAGAUAUCCUGAAUAUCAGAUAUUUACUUUGCAAUUAAUAGCAUUAACAAAAUUGUAGUUAUAAAGUAGGAAGAAAAUAAUGUUAUGUUUGGGGGUCACCACCACAUGAGGAACUGUGUUAAAAGGUUGCAGCAUUAGUAGGGUUGAGAACCACUGCCCUAAUCUCUCCAGGAUACCAGAUUCUCAGUAUAAUUCUCUAAAAGGAUAUCUCUCUUUGAUGUCUUUACAGUCUCUGGUUUGAUUUCAUGUAGAGUUUGGUAGUUUUUAUUCACUCUUACAAAGCUACUGGCUAUGUCCACUAGGCAGGCAUCAAACUCACAGAGAUCAGUCUGUCUCUGCCUCUAAUUUGCUGAGAGUAAAGACCAAUGCCAGCAUUCCCAGAAGUAGGAGAUGAAGAGAAGAUGAGGAAAAUACACGUCCAUUUGCUUAGAGACAGUGCAGUUUAGUUACUUUCUACAAAGGCCUUGAAGCAUGGGUUGAAACCAAGAUAUAACUUCACUUAAAAUAGAAAACAAAGGUAAAUGAGAUGACUUAUGGCACUUCCCAUCAGGUCUGACAACCUGAAUUUGACCCCUGGGACUAACAUACUGAAAGGGGGAAAGAGAAAGUCAGUUUCCAAAAGUCGUUUUGUAACUUUCACAUGAGUUUUGUUACACAUGUGUAUAUGAACAAAAACAUUUUUUAAAUAGAAAAGUAUAAAUGUAUGAAACUGUCGAAGAAUUUUUAAAAAUCUCAUUCAGGGGCUGUUGGGUUGGUUAGUCAGAUGUGCAUUGUAUGAGCACAAUGACCUUGGUGCAGAUCCCUAGUAUUCAUGUCAAAAGCUCAGUGUGGCAAUAUGCACCUGGAACUCCAAGCCUGGAGGUAGAAAGUAUAAGAAAUAAUCUAUUAUGGUCCAUUUUCGCUAUGUGAUAUGUUUAGAGAUCAUCAGGGAAACACAGACAAACAGCAGUUAUUAGAACCCUGGCUUCUCUAGCUCCCAGCUGUCACUGGCCUGCCUGAACACUUAUUAAUUUAUCUUAGGGUUAAAACAAGCUAAAAACAACCAGUUGUGUGUGUACUUGAUCCCACAAAUCAGGAAAUGGGGAUAGGGUGAGGAUGGGGCAAGGAUCUCAAGCCCCAGAAAGAUGGGAAAUGUGGGGCAGGAAGAUGGCACCUUCCUGAAGGACUCAGCCAUCAUGGAAGAAGGAGUGGUUCCGAGAUGUAAAAACCACUGUUCUGAGCCACAUGUUAUGCCAGGUAUUUCUGCUUUUCCUUCAACCCGGACUUUGCAAGAUCAUAAAAUAUACUGCUUUACUUUCGCACUUGGAAUCUCCAGGACUCUUAGUAGGAAGUAAAGACUGUUAUUUCUUACGGGGGGAUCAGAGAAAGACAGUUCCUAAAGCCCAUUGACCACCUACACUAGCUGAGUGGAUGAGCUUCAGAUGCAGGGAGAGACCAUGACUUAAAAAGAAAGGAAGGAAGGAAGGAAGGGAGGGAGGAAGGAAGGAAGGAAGGGAGGGAGGAAGGAAGGAAGGAAGGAAGAAGGAAGAAGGGUUUUGUUUUUAAGAAGGCAGCAUGAACUGUCUAGGAAAGACAUUAGAGAUUAGCCUCUGGCCUUCCACAUACAUGUGCUUACCACACAUAUGUUGCAUACACCCAAAUGAACAAGUACAUGUAACAGAACCCAUGCAUACAAAAUUUUAAAAUACUAUAAAAUUCCAUUUCAGUUAGGUAAAUUGAAAGAUUAGUAGUUUUGUCACAUGAAACCAUCUGCAGAUGCCGUGCCUCCUGUGACAAUGCCUCAUGGAAAUUUAGAAGAUUGCAUUGGCAUUCCUAGAGCAAAAUAUUACUUCUUAUAGUUUUUUUAAACAGUGACUGGGUAUAUAUUCAGUAAAGUUCAGGUAAAGUGAUUGCCUAGCAUGCACAUGGCCCUGGUAUAAUGUCAGAACAACAUUAAAACAAGCAUGGUGGUAUACAUCUAUAAUCCCAACACUCAGAAGUUCAAGGUCACUUUAGCUAUAUAGCAAGUAUAAAGCCAGGCUUUAGAUCCAAAGAAUCCUUCUCAUCAAAGUGGGGUAAGGGAGGAUUCUUUAAAAAAAAAUCACUGUGCCAGCAUUUCAGCUGGGGAAUAGUCUUUCAGCAAAGGUUAAACAAGUAGAAAUCCACUUGCAAACAUGACCUUACCUCAUACCAUCUAAAAUAUAAGGAUACAAAGAUCUGUUCUUGUGAUCCUGAAGCUAAGACUAUAAACAUAUUAGAGAAACAAAGAACAGAUCUUUGAAUCUUUAUAUUAGAAAGGUUUGUUUUAGAUUUGUAACAUAAACCACAAGCAACCAAACUGAGUAGAUAGACGGAAGUCUUUUACAGAUUGACUAGGAAAUUUCCCCUACCAGCUCAUGUAUUGAGGUCUUGGUACCCUACUGAUGGAAAAGCAAUUGCAUCCUCUUGCUAUAACUCAAUCAAGGGGUCCAUCUCUUGGUGGAUUCAUAAUAUGAUGGCAGCUGAAGGUAGGAAGUUGGGUCUCAUUGCAGGAAGUAAGUCAUUGCUGGGACCGGAAUCACAGAUAGUUGUGAACAGUCAAGUGGCUGCUGGAAAACAAGCCUAAGUCCCUUGGAAAAGCAUCCAGUACUCUUAACCACAAAAUCUCUUCAACUCCCAAGACAUAUUUUAUAUUCAGACCACAAUAUCAAAUAAGCGGGGUAGACUGGAGAAGACUGCAGAGAAGCUGCCGAGAAAACAUGGAGGCUGAUGUUAAGAUUCCAUGCUGUACCUUUACAUAUUGUUAUGAAUGUUCUUAAGGGAUGGAGUAUACUGGGCUUUGUAUGUUUGGGUGGGCAAUUAUAUCUUAUCAAUGGAAAAAAUAUCAAAUAAGUGUUGUCUUAGGAUGUAGAACAACAUACAGCAUGUAAAAACUUAAAAUGAUACAACCACUUUAUAAGACAAUUUGAUACUUGUUCACAAAAUUAAAUAUAUGGAAAUCAUAUGACCUAGAAAUUCCAUUUGUAUAUAUCAAUUAAAAAAGUCUAAAGAGAUAUUGUACUUGGAUAUUCACAUCAGUAUCUUUAUAAGAGCUCUAAAUGGAAACCACCCAACUUUCUAUCAAGUAAUGGAUUGAUAAACAAAAUGUUAUUUGAUCAAGAAAGGGAAAUAAACUGAUUCAUAUAAAUGCACAGAAGGACAUUGAAAACCCUGUUAUUAAAGUAGAUACCCCCAGAGCUAAGGAUGUCCCACAGUCUUUCAGAACCAAAACCUGCCCCAAAAGAGCAGGUCUCCCAGAAACACUCUUACUGCUAAGAUCACCGGCUCACAGGCUCACUGGCCAACAGGAGGCACAAGUUCCAGUCAGAGACAGCAAGGCCAACUAACAUCAGAGAUAAUCAGAUGAUGAGAGGCAAGCACAAGAACCUAAGCAAAAGAAACCAAGAAUCCUUGGCAUCAUCAGAACACAAUUCUCCCACCACAGCAAAUACUGAAUAUCCCAAUUCACCUGAAAAGCAAGAUUUGGAUUUAAAAUCACAUCUCGUGGUGAUGAUAGAGGAUUUUAAGAAGGACAUAAAUAACUCCAUUAAAGAAAUACAAGACAACACAGAUAAACAAGUAGAAUCCCAAAAAGAAGAAACAGAAAAAUUCCUUAAAGAUUUGCAAGAAAAUACAAACAGGUGAAGAAAUUGAACAAAACCAUCCAGCAUCAAAAAAUGGAAAUAGAAAGAAUAAAGAUAUCACAAAGGGAGAGAACACUGGAGAUAGAAAACCUAGGAAACAGAUCAGGAGCAAUAGACACAAACACAACCAACAGAAUACCAGAGAUUGAAGAGAGAAUCUCAGGGACAGAAGAUACCAUAGAAAACAUCAAUACAAUAGUCAAAAAAUACAAAAAACAAACAGCUCCUAACCCAAAACAUCCAGGAAAUCUAAGACACAAUGAGAAGACAAAACCUAAGGAUAAUAGGUAUAGAAGAGAAUGAAGAUCCCCAACUUAAAGGGCCAGUAAAUAUCUUCAACAAAAUUAUAGAAGAAAACUUCCCUAACUUUAAGAAAGUGAUGCCCAUGAACAUACAAGAAGCCUACAGAACUCCGAACAGAUUAGACCAGAAAAGAAAUUCCUUCUGUCACAUAAUAGUCAAAUCACCAAAUACAUAAAACAAAGAAAGAAUAUUAAAAGAGAUAAGAAAAAAGUCAAAUAACAUAUAAAGGCAGAUCUAUCAGAAUUAGUUUCUCAACAGAAACUACAAAAGCUAGAAGAUUCUGGGCAGAUGUCAUACAGACCCUAAGAAAACACAAAUGCCAGCACAGGCUACUAUAUCCAGCAAAACUCUCAAUUAUUAUAAAUGUAGAAACCAAGAUAUUCUAUGAUAAAAUCAAAUUUACAUACUAUCUUUCUGCAAAUCCAGCCCUACAAAGGAUAAUAGACGGAAAACUCCAACACAAAGGGGGAAAAUACACCCUACAAAAAGCAAGAAAGUUAUCUUCUUGCAACAAACCCAAAAGAAGAGAAACACACAAACAAUUCUACCUCUAACAACAAAAAUAACAGGAAACAACAAUCACUCUUCCUUAAUAUCUCUUAACAUCAGUGGACUCAAUUCCCCAAUAAAAAGACAUAGACUAACAGACUGGAUACGUAAAGAGGACCCAGCAUUUGGCUGCAUAUAGGAAACACACCUCAGUGACAAACACAAACACUUCCUAAGAGUUAAAAGGCUGUAAAAAAAAUGUAUCAAGCAAAUGGUCUCAAGAAACAAGUGAGAUAACCAUUCUAAUAUUGAAUAAAAUCUAUGUUCAAACAAAAGUUAUCAAAAAAGAAAGGAAGAACACCUCAUACUUAUGAAAAGAAAAAAAAUCUACCAAGAUGAACUCUCAUUUCUAUACAUCUAUGCUCCAAAUGCAAUGGCACCCACAUUAAUAAAAGAAACUUUACUAAAGCUCAAAGCAUACAUUGUAUGUCACACAAUAAUAAUGGGAGACAUCAACACCCCACUCUUGUCAAUGGACAGAUCAUGGAAACAGAAACUAAACAGAGACACAGUGAAACUAACAGAAGUUAUGAACCAAAUGGAUUUAACAGAUAUCUAUAGAACAUUUCAUCUUAAAACAUUUCAUCACCUCCUGGUACCUUCUCCAAAAUUGACCAAAUAAUCAGUCACAAAACAGGCCUCAACAGAUACAAGAAGAUUGAAAUAAUCCCAUGCAUUCUAUCAGAUCACCACACACUAAGGCUGGUCUUCAAUAGCAACAACAAUGACAGAAAGUCCACAUAUACAUGGAAGUUGAACAGUGCUCUACUCAAUGAUAAUUUGGUCAAGGAAGAAAUAAAGAAAUUAAAGAGGAAUGGAUACAGAAAAUGUGGUACAUUUACACAAUGGAGUACUACUCAGCUAUUAAAAACAAUGACUUCAUGAAAUUCUUAGGCAAAUGGAUGGAACUAGAAAAUAUUAUCCUGAGUGAGAUAACCAAGUCAUAAAAGAACACACAUGGUAUGCACUCACUGAUAAGUGGAUAUUAGCCCAAAAGCUUGGAAUACUUAAGAAAAAAUUCACAGAUCAUAUGAAGCUCAAGAAGAAGGAAGACCUAAAUGUGGAUGCUUCAUUCCUUCUUAGAAUGGAGAACAAAAUACUCAUCAGAGCAAAUACAGGGACAAAGAGUGGAUCAGGGACUGAAGAAAAGGUCAUCCAGAGCUGCCCCACCUGGGGAUCCAUCCCAUAUGCAGCCACCAAUCCCAGUCACUAUUGCUGACGCCAAGAAGUGCUUGCUGAUAGAAACCUGAUAUGGAUGUCUCCUGAGAGGCUCUGCCAGAGACUUAUUGAUACAGAUGAGGAUGCCUGCAGCCAACCAUUGGACUGAACAUGGGGACCCCCAGUGGAGGAGUUAGAGAAAGGACUGAAGGAAAUGAAGGGGUUUGCAACCCCAUAGGAAGAACAACAAUAUGAUCCUAUCAGACUCCACCAGAGAUCCCAGGGACUAAACCACCAACCAAUGAGUACACAUAGAGGGACCCAUGAUUGUGACUUUGAGGUCAUCCUGGGCUAUAUUGUGAGAUCUCACUCCAAAAAAAAAUUGAAAUAAAACAUAGAAUCAUUCAAUGUUAGAAUAAGCAAAUUGGUAGAGGUAGAAAGCAGGUAAUUGACUUCCUAGGACCAUCGUGUCUUUUCAUUGUUCAUGGAUAGUGUAUAAAGAUGCCAUUGAUUUUUAUAUAUUGAUCUUAUAUGCUACAACUCUGCUGAAUUUGUUUAUCAGUCUUUUAGCGCAUAGCUUACAAUUUUCCCCAUAUAAGAUCAUUUCGUCUAUAAGUACUGACAGCUUUCCUUUCAGCCUGAAUGCCUUUGACUUCUCUGGCUUGUCUGUCUUGAAGCACCGGUUCUGGGAUAGAGAGAAGAGCAGACAUCUUCACCUUUAUCUCUAUCCUUGGAGAGAUGUUGUCUUUCACCAGAAACUCUGACAUUUUCUGAGUGGUCUUUGCACCUGUCCUUCGUCAAAUUAAGGGAGUGUUCUUGUAUUUCCAAUUUCGUGUUUUGUUUGUGUGGUUUUUGUUUCCAGCUUUUGUUUGUUUGCUUUGGCUUUUGAGACAGGAUCUCACUUUGUAGCCCAUGUUGUCCUCAAAUUCCUAACCUUCCUUCAAUAAAAAGCCCCCUGGGUGCUGGGAUUACAGUGCUAGCGAGGUAGGCAAACAGAACGUCCUGGCAACCUUCAAAUCUGCUUCAUCUGGGCCAACAUACACCCUGCUAACAUGACCUAGCAAGAUGUGAUUGUCACUGCAUUACUGUGUACAGUCACACUUUUCUCCAACAAGACAUCCAUCUAGUGAUCUCUAACCGCUAUGCUGUGACUAUUAGCAAACAAGUCCUCUAUUGCUUAAUCCCAUAAAAGAAGCAAUAAUUGGGGCCAUUGAGUACCUUCUAGUGUAGCAGGCUGCAGCUGGAUUUUCGGAUUGUUCAUUUGGUUUGUUUUGUUUUUGAGGCACUCACUAGUCCAGAAUGGCCUGGCACUUGCUAUGUAAACCAUGCGGGUCUUAACCUCACAGAGAUCCACCUGCCACCUGAGUGCCAGGAGUGAAGGCAUGGGCCACGCCCACAAGCCCCUGUGUGUUCCUCCCCCACCCCCCGGAUCUAUUUUGCCAUCUUCUCCUUUGCCUUUGAACAGUGUCGCGGGUACUUUGCACUGCUUGUGUGCCUCCUUCAUUUCAGUUUCUUGAGGAAGAGGCCGAGAACCCGAAAACACCUGUUCCAGACACUGACCCUCAGUCGUACCCCAGGAUUUUUCUAUGGAGUUGGGUAUGUGGUUAGCUUUUUGUUUACUAAUGUGAUGCGUUAAGCCCACCUUUGCACUGGAGUGAGUUACUACGGGCCAUGGGGUAUACGUUGCCCUCUUGCGCGCUCCUGGAUGACUUCCAAUGCAUUACAUCUAUACGGGCUCUUAUCUUCUAGACACCGUCUUUUGCUGCCUCUGCGAAGACACACCCACUGUAUCUUUAGCUGUUUAACAUUUCCCGGCUUCUAGGUAAACAACUGGUAUUUUCACAAGUCUUUUCCCCUUGCUCAGAAAGGUCAUUUCUCCCCUAAGAUCAUACCACUAUCCACCUACAUUCUUUAUACUGUCGUUUUAUUUCAUUUCUUUUUACUUGGAUUUAGGAAAUUAAUUAGAAUCCAGGUAUGGUCGUGGAAGUUUGUGAUCCCUGCCACUGAGACACUAAGGCCAGGAGAUUCCCAAAAGUCUCAGGCUUGAUCUACGGAACAAGACUGUGUCUCAGAGCAACGACAACAAAAAAAAGUUCAUUUUAUCUGCUUAUAAGUUAAAGACUAAAUUUUUUUCCUUUAAAUUAGGGGCACAUUUACCGGAUUAAAAUUCAUUUAAUAAAAUAGGUUUGGUCAAAACCUAUAUUCAGCCUUCAAAAA